GGCUCUUUCCGCUCCUAGGACCCGUACUUCCGGCUGUGGUUCGGCAAUAGCAGCGGCCGUUAGCUGUAGCUGCUGCUCGGAGCGGAUCGCUACUCCCGGAUUCUCUGAGCGGCUCCCCGCCGCCCCCCUUGCCCUCUGGAUCCGCCUGAAGCCGCUCCUCUGUCGGUUCCGAGACGCCAGCCGAGCGCUAACGCGGGGCUUUGUCGAGCUUCAGGUCCGGUCCUUCCAGUUAGCAUCGAGCUAACAGCUAGCUUCCUGCCGAUGAAAACAUCGAGAGGAAAACUUCACUGACAGACCUUAGCAGAAGAUCCUGAGGAACACCUGAAUUCCUUACCUGAUGGAACAACAUCCCGACUCUAAAUACCUGUAGAGACCCUCUAACACUUGGCCAGGUGGAUCCAGGUUUCGGGUCGGUUUUGCUGGAACUGAAUCUGAGUCACCUUCAUGAAGUAGGC